rnacentral:lncRNA from 11 species
UGAUCCUAGCCAAUGGUUUGUUGACCGAAAUAAAGGCUACUGACCGAGUAUAAAAUGUAACCCAUCAUAACAAUUUGCAAAGAUAAUCAAGUUGACUGAGACCACUAUUUAAUAAUUGUCCGGUUACAUCCCAUACAAUAUCUGGAGGCAGAGGUGCACCAGUAUGAGGUUGUACUAGAGGUGGCUAUGUUUUACACACUAUAUCGUACUUUGGUAUUAGAUCACAUCAUUAUGCAAAUGUCUUGCAUUCUACGAGAUUCUAGGACAUGUCCUUCGGGAAGGCAUUAGUGCUCUCUGACAGUCAGAAAAGGAAGUGGGAAAAGGAGACCAGAAGAAGGAAGUAGGAGGAGGGGAAAGAAGAAGAGAGGAGGAGGAAGAGGAGGAGGAGAAAGAAUAAGAAAGAGGAGGAGAAAGAAAAGUUAAUUAUGUUGUUAUUAAGCUAUUUAUCCCUCUCCCAAAUUAAUCUGGACCUGUGGAAGACUGCACUUGAAUUUAUAUGAUUUUUAAAAAUGUCGUCUUUUAUGCUUCACUGAAGCUUCGUGGAGAAGUCAGAAGCUCCGGAAGGACCCAGCAGCAACUGUACCCUAUGCUUUAUCAGAUUCCUCCACCUAGCAUCAACUUCACCCUGCCAUCCCCAGUACUGGGAAUGCCCUCUGUCCCCAUGUUUGACCCACCAUGGGUACCACAGUGUGGUGGAAGUGUGCAGGACACUAUUAAUGAAGAUCAAUCUAAGUCAUUUUCAGCCCGGGCAGUGUCACGCUCCCAUCAGCGUGCAGAGCACAUUCUGAAGAAUCUGCAGCAAGAAGAAGAGAAAAAACGUCUGGGUCGAGAAGCUAGUCUGAUCACUGCCAUCCCCAUCACUCAGGAAGCUUGUUAUGAGCCCACCUGUUCCCCAAACUCGGAACAGGAGGAAGAAGUAGAAGAAGUUGUUAACCUGGCAUCUCGUCGUCUCUCUGUGAGUCCAUCAUGCACUUCGAGUACCUCUCACAGGAACUACUCUUUUCGGCGUGGCUCAGUUUGGUCAGUGCGUUCAGAAGUCAGUGCUGAAGAUGAGGAACACACAACAGAGCAUACACCAAAUCAUCAUGUGCCCCAGCCUCCACAAGCGGUCUUCCCGGCUUGUAUCUGUGCAGCUGUGCUUCCCAUUGUUCACCUGAUGGAAGAUGGAGAAGUCCGGGAGGAUGGUGUCGCAGGUAUUGUUUUAGUUUAAAGAUUUCUGGAAUAAUUUGAGAAGGAAAGCAGCCAUUAACCUCUUUUUACAGU